CAGCCGCCGCGGGAAAACGUAGGGCGCAAGCGUUAAUCGGAAUUACUGGGCGUAAAGCGUGCGCAGGCGGUUUGUUAAGACAGAUGUGAAAUCCCCGGGCUCAACCUGGGAACUGCAUUUGUGACUGGCAAGCUAGAGUAUGGCAGAGGGGGGUGGAAUUCCGCGUGUAGCAGUGAAAUGCGUAGAUAUGCGGAGGAACACCGAUGGCGAAGGCAGCCCCCUGGGCCAAUACUGACGCUCAUGCACGAAAGCGUGGGGAGCAAACAGGAUUAGAUACCCCCGUAGUCCCUGUCUCUUAUAC
rnacentral:rRNA from 1 species